GACGAACGCUGGCGGCGUGCUUAACACAUGCAAGUCGAACGGCAAGGCCCUUCGGGGUACACGAGUGGCGAACGGGUGAGUAACACGUGGGUGAUCUGCCCUGCACUUCGGGAUAAGCCUGGGAAACUGGGACUAAUACCGGAUAGGACCCUGGGAUGCAUGUCCUGGGGUGGAAAGCUUUUGCGGUGUGGGAUGGGCCCGCGGCCUAUCAGCUUGUUGGUGGGGUGAUGGCCUACCAAGGCGACGACGGGUAGCCGGCCUGAGAGGGUGACCGGCCACACUGGGACUGAGAUACGGCCCAGACUCCUACGGGAGGCAGCAGUGGGGAAUAUUGCACAAUGGGCGCAAGCCUGAUGCAGCGACGCCGCGUGAGGGAUGACGGCCUUCGGGUUGUAACCUCUUUCAGCACCGACGAAGCGCAAGUGACGGUAGGUGCAGAAGAAGGACCGGCCAACUACGUGCCAGCCGCCGCGGUAA
rnacentral:rRNA from 1 species